CCUACGGGUGGCAGCAGUGGGGAAUAUUGCACAAUGGGGAAAACUCUGAUGCAGCGACGCCGCGUGAGUGAAGAAGUAUUUCGGUAUGUACAGCUCUAUCAGCAGGGAAGAAAUAGCGACCUUUGGGUCGCCAGACGGUACCUGAUUAAGAAGCCCCGGCUAACUACGUGCCAGCAGCCGCGGUAAUACGGAGGCUGCGAGCGUUAUCCGGAUUUAUUGGGUUUAAGGGGUGCGUAGGCGGUCCGGAAAGUCAGCGGUAAAAGCCCGGGGCUCAACCCCGGCGAGCCGUUGAAACUGUCGGACUAGAGACGGCGAGAAGUACGCGGAAUGCGCGGUGUAGCGGUGAAAUGCAUAGAUAUCGCGCAGAACUCCGAUUGCGAAGGCAGCGUACCGGCGCCGGACUGACGCUGAGGCACGAAAGCGUGGGUAUCGAACAGGAUUAGAUACCCGAGUAGUC
rnacentral:rRNA from 1 species